CACCAUAUAUGCAGUCUCAGCCUAUGCCCUUAAGGGGCAGAACACAGUCCUGUAGUAUGGAGAAAUACCUCAGGCCUUCCGUGUGUGAUGGAACAGGAUCCACGUAGCCCCCAGAUUUCCCUUUGGCAUCUCCGCCUCCCAGGGACUCUCAGAUUUGGGCCACAGUGAAUCUUGCCUUUGUUCUGACCAGCGAUCAGAUGGAGGAAGCUGCUCUCCCUGCCUCUAUGCUUGGUCCCUCUUCAUAGUGAGAGCCGCAGGCCUACAAUGGGGACGUGGAGGCAGCACAUGAGGUGAGUGGGCACUCUAUUCCUGUGGAGCAGACUUUCGCUCUCGAUGUCUCAGCUUCCACCAAAAUGCGUCAGCUGCCUGGAUGCUCCUCAACACCGCUUGAGUGGUAUAAUCCACACAGACCAAGGGGUGGGGGGAGG